UGCGGCUGGAUCACCUCCUUUCUAAGGAUUUUAACGGAAUAUAAGACCUUGGGUCUUAUAAACAGAACGUUCCCUGUCUUGUUUAGUUUUGAAGGAACUUUGAUUC
rnacentral:rRNA from 1 species